UACGUAGGGAGCAAGCGUUGUCCGGAUUUACUGGGUGUAAAGGGCGUGUAGGCGGGAUUGCAAGUCAGAUGUGAAAUUCCGGGGCUCAACCCCGGAACUGCAUUUGAAACUGUAGUUCUUGAGUACUGGAGAGGCAGGCGGAAUUCCUAGUGUAGCGGUGAAAUGCGUAGAUAUUAGGAGGAACACCAGUGGCGAAGGCGGCCUGCUGGACAGCAACUGACGCUGAGGCGCGAAAGCGUGGGGAGCAAACAGG
rnacentral:rRNA from 1 species